GAUGAACGCUGGCGGCGUGCCUAAUACAUGCAAGUCGAGCGAAUGGAUUAAGAGCUUGCUCUUAUGAAGUUAGCGGCGGACGGGUGAGUAACACGUGGGUAACCUGCCCAUAAGACUGGGAUAACUCCGGGAAACCGGGGCUAAUACCGGAUAACAUUUUGAACCGCAUGGUUCGAAAUUGAAAGGCGGCUUCGGCUGUCACUUAUGGAUGGACCCGCGUCGCAUUAGCUAGUUGGUGAGGUAACGGCUCACCAAGGCAACGAUGCGUAGCCGACCUGAGAGGGUGAUCGGCCACACUGGGACGGAAACACGGCCCAGACGCCUACGGGAGGCAGCAGUAGGGAAUCUUCCGCAAUGGACGAAAGUCUGACGGAGCAACGCCGCGUGAGUGAUGAAGGCUUUCGGGUCGUAAAACUCUGUUGUUAGGGAAGAACAAGUGCUAGUUGAAUAAGCUGACACCUUGACGGUACCUAACCAGAAAGCCACGGCUAACUACGUGCCAGCCGCCGCAGUAA
rnacentral:rRNA from 1 species